AUUGAACGCUGGCGGCAGGCCUAACACAUGCAAGUCGAGCGGAUGAAGGGAGCUUGCUCCUGGAUUCAGCGGCGGACGGGUGAGUAAUGCCUAGGAAUCUGCCUGGUAGUGGGGGAUAACGUCCGGAAACGGGCGCUAAUACCGCAUACGUCCUGAGGGAGAAAGUGGGGGAGCUUCGGACCUCACGCUAUCAGAUGAGCCUAGGUCGGAUUAGCUAGUUGGUGGGGUAAAGGCCUACCAAGGCGACGAUCCGUAACUGGUCUGAGAGGAUGAUCAGUCACACUGGAACUGAGACACGGUCCAGACUCCUACGGGAGGCAGCAGUGGGGAAUAUUGGACAGUGGGCGAAAGCCUGAUCCAGCCAUGCCGCGUGUGUGAAGAAGGUCUUCGGAUUGUAAAGCACUUUAAGUUGGGAGGAAGGGCAGUAAGUUAAUACCUUGCUGUUUUGACGUUACCAACAGAAUAAGCACCGGCUAACUUCGUG
rnacentral:rRNA from 1 species